rnacentral:lncRNA from 1 species
CCGACGUCGCUGCCGCCGCUGCGGCCAAAAGACGAGCAUCGUUCCCGCAGCUGGAGUGCGAGCGCUGCGGUGCAGCGCGGAACCCCGAGCGCUGGCUGCCACGCAUGCCAUACGAGAUGCUCUUCGUGGUGGGCGGCUGGAGCGAAGGCCGCGAGCGUGAUGCCGUCGAGACGUACGACC